GAUUUCAGCUGAAAAAGUCAUCAACAAUAAAGUUGUAUAACUCAUCAAGAUCUAUAAUUUCUAUUUUGGUUAUUUCUUCAUCCGACAAAGUGAUCAUAACAUAUUCUUAGAAUUUACAUGUCUCUCUUAUAGUUUAUUUAUAAAACUAUAAGAGAUAUGUACGUUUUGUGAACAAUAUUACAAAUCACUUUGUCGGAUGAAGAAAUGACCAAAAUAGAAGUUAUAGAUCUUGAUGAGUUAUACAAUUUUGUUGUUGAUGACUUUUACAGUUGAAAUC
rnacentral:pre_miRNA from 1 species